GAAAUAACACAAACCCUAGGUGGGAAAAUUGAAGAAAAAGUGUGGGAUUUCAAGGAUUAAGCUAAUUUGUGAAAGGGCAUUAUAGUAAUUUCCAAGGGAGUGGAUAAGCUUGGGCCAUAAAUAUCCUCUCCUUCUAGCAACUUCUUGGGAUUUCUAACAGCUUUUUCUUCUUGUUCUCUUCCCUCUCACGUUUCUUCAAUUCCUCCAUGGAAGCUUGAUGUGAAGCUUUCAUAACUUUCUCUCUCUAGUUCUAAUUUUCAUACCUUGGUGCCCUUUUGACUAGAACCCUUGUAUUCUUCCACUCUCUCACUUUAAAACCCUUNN
rnacentral:lncRNA from 1 species